GACGGACGCUGGCGGCGUGCUUAACACAUGCAAGUCGAACGAAGUGGCGAACGGGUGAGUAACGCGUAAUCAACCUGCCCUUCAGAGGGGGAUAACAGUUGGAAACGACUGCUAAUACCGCAUACUGAAGAAGGGGAUUGCGUCUGAUUAGCUAGUUGGAGGGGGAACGGCCCACCAAGGCGAUGAUCAGUCGCCGGGCUUGGAGGGGGGACGGGCACAUUGGGACUGGGGCACGGGCCAGACUCCUACGGGGGGCAGCCAGUGGGAAACUUUCGGAAUGGACGGAAAUCUAACGGAGGAAAGGCGGGGGAGUGAAAACGGCUUUCGGGUUGUAAAGCCUUUUUAAUCGGGACGCGGUACCGGAAUAGAAAGCCACGGCUAACUACGUGCCAGCAGCCGCGGUAAUUC
rnacentral:rRNA from 1 species